rnacentral:rRNA from 1 species
UUCCGGUUGAUCCUGCCGGAGGUCACUGCUAUUGGGAUUCGACUAAGCCAUGCGAGUCGAGAGGGUUCGGCCCUCGGCUGACGGCUCAGUAACACGUAGAUAAUCUGCCCUUAGGUGGAGGAUACCCUCGGGAAACUGAGAAUAAUACUCCAUAGGCCUAGGAUGCUGGAAUGCAUCUAGAUUCAAAACUCCGGUGCCUAAGGAUGAGUCUGCGGACUAUCAGGUUGUAGUCAGGGUAAUGACCUGACUAGCCUACGACGGAUACGGGUUGUGAGAGCAAUAACCCGGAGAUGAUAUCUGAGACACGAUAUCAGGCCCUACGGGGCGCAGCAGGCGCGAAAACUUCACACUGUGCGAAAGCACGAUGAGGGAAUCCCAAGUGCUUGCACGUAAGUGUAAGCUGUUUCUUUGUUUAAAACGCAUUGAGAGUAAGAGCUGGGUAAGACGGGUGCCAGCCGCCGCGGUAAUACCUGCAGCUCAAGUGGUGGCCGCUAUUAUUGGGCCUAAAACGUCCGUAGCCGGUUUAAUAAAUGCCUGGGUAAAUCGUGUAGCUUAACUAUACGAAUUCCGGGUAGACUGUUAAACUUGAGACCGGGAGAAGCUAGAGGUACUCCUGGGGUAGAGGUGAAAUUCUGUAAUCCUAGGGGGACCACCAGUGGCGAAGGCGUCUAGCUAGAACGGGUCUGACGGUGAGGGACGAAGCCCUGGGGCGCAAACCGGAUUAGAUACCCGGGUAGUCCAGGGUGUAAACGCUGCUUGCUUGAUGUUAGUUGGGCUCUGAGCCCAAUUAGUGUCGGAGAGAAGUUGUUAAGCAAGCUGCCUGGGAAGUACGGUCGCAGACUGAAACUUAAAGGAAUUGGCGGGGGAGCACAGCAACGGGUGGAGCGUGCGGUUUAAUUGGAAUUCACGCCAGAA